rfam:Orenia sp. Z6 2524618312, whole genome shotgun sequence.
CUACCUAUUCUAUUUGAGGUAAUUCUAUCUAUCGGUGUGUGAUUGGUAACGACUGGGUGCUAAGCGAUAGAGACAAUGUGAAAUACCCUGCUAGCCUAAAGCAGGUGAAUUG